rnacentral:rRNA from 9 species
GAUCUUCAACGAGGAAUUCCUAGUAAGCGCGAGUCAUCAGCUCGCGUUGACUACGUCCCUGCCCUUUGUACACACCGCCCGUCGCUCCUACCGAUUGAAUGGUCCGGUGAAGUUUUCGGAUUGCGGCGACGCCGGCGGUUCGCCGCCGGUGACGUUGUGAGAAGUUCAUUAAACCUUAUCAUUUAGAGGAAGGAGAAGUCGUAACAAGGUUUCCGUAGGUGAACCUGCGGAAGGAUCAUUG